AGAGUUUGAUCCUGGCUCACGAUGAACGCUAGCUACAGGCUUAACACAUGCAAGUCGAGGGGAAACGGCAUUGAGUGCUUGCACUCUUUGGACGUCGACCGGCGCACGGGUGAGUAACGCGUAUCCAACCUUCCCAUUACUGUGGGAUAACCUGCCGAAAGGCAGACUAAUACCGCAUAGUCUUCGAUGACGGCAUCAGAUUUGAAGUAAAGAUUUAUCGGUAAUGGAUGGGGAUGCGUCUGAUUAGCUUGUUGGCGGGGUAACGGCCCACCAAGGCGACGAUCAGUAGGGGUUCUGAGAGGAAGGUCCCCCACAUUGGAACUGAGACACGGUCCAAACUCCUACGGGAGGCAGCAGUGAGGAAUAUUGGUCAAUGGACGGAAGUCUGAACCAGCCAAGUAGCGUGCAGGAUGACGGCCCUAUGGGUUGUAAACUGCUUUUGUAUGGGGAUAAAGUUAGGGACGUGUCCCUAUUUGCAGGUACCAUACGAAUAAGGACCGGCUAAUUCCGUGCCAGCAGCCGCGGUAAUACGGAAGGUCCAGGCGUUAUCCGGAUUUAUUGGGUUUAAAGGGAGCGUAGGCUGGAGAUUAAGUGUGUUGUGAAAUGUAGACGCUCAACGUCUGACUUGCAGCGCAUACUGGUUUCCUUGAGUACGCACAACGUUGGCGGAAUUCGUCGUGUAGCGGUGAAAUGCUUAGAUAUGACGAAGAACUCCGAUUGCGAAGGCAGCUGACGGGAGCGCAACUGACGCUGAAGCUCGAAGGUGCGGGUAUCGAACAGGAUUAGAUACCCUGGUAGUCCGCACAGUAAACGAUGGAUGCCCGCUGUUGGUACUUGGUAUCAGCGGCUAAGCGAAAG
rnacentral:rRNA from 1 species